GACGAACGCUGGCGGCGUGCCUAACACAUGCAAGUCGAACGGGACUUAGCGGAAUGCGGCUUCGGCCAAAGGAAGUUAAGUUUAGUGGCGAACGGGUGAGUAACGCGUGAGGAACCUGCCUUUCAGUGGGGGACAACAGUUGGAAACGACUGCUAAUACCGCAUAACAUGACGAGACCGCAUGAUCUUGUCAUCAAAGCUUUAUGUGCUGAAAGAUGGCCUCGCGUCUGAUUAGCUAGUUGGAGGGGUAACGGCCCACCAAGGCGACGAUCAGUAGCCGGUCUGAGAGGAUGAACGGCCACAUUGGGACUGAGAUACGGCCCAGACUCCUACGGGAGGCAGCAGUGGGGGAAUAUUGGGCAAUGGGGGAAACCCUGACCCAGCAACGCCGCGUGAAGGAAGAAGGCUUUCGGGUUGUAAACUUCUUUACCAGGGACGAAGGACGUGACGGUACCUGGAGAAAAAGCAACGGCUAACUACGUG
rnacentral:rRNA from 1 species